UGGGGAAUAUUGCACAAUGGGCGCAAGCCUGAUGCAGCCAUGCCGCGUGUAUGAAGAAGGCCUUCGGGUUGUAAAGUACUUUCAGCGGGGAGGAAGGGAGUAAAGUUAAUACCUUUGCUCAUUGACGUUACCCGCAGAAGAAGCACCGGCUAACUCCGUGCCAGCAGCCGCGGUAAUACGGAGGGUGCAAGCGUUAGUCGGAAUUACUGGGCGUAAAGCGCACGCAGGCGGUUUGUUAAGUCAGAUGUUAAAUCCUCGGGCUCAACCUGGGAACUGCAUCUGAUACUGACAAGCUUGAGUCUCGUAGAGGGGGGUAGGAUUACAGGUGUAGCGGUGAAAUGCGUAGAGAUCUGGAGGAAUACCGGUGGCGAAGGCGGCCCCCUGGACGGAGAAUGACGCUCAGGUGCGAAAGCGUGGGGAGCAAACAGG
rnacentral:rRNA from 1 species